CGGCCCGCCUGCAGGUCCGCGAUGCGGAUGGUUUCGGACAAAGCCCAGAUGUAGUUGUGCGCAAAGCGCAGAGUCUCGAUCUUGGUUUUUCAAAGUGUAGAAGAAGAGCCACUGCUGCUUGUUGUGAAUGUGGAGCGCAUCACUGCCCCCUAUCAGAGACAUAUGGUACUUUCUGCGUCACUUCACAGAUCAGAGAUUCAAGAUCGGACACAUGUAUUUAAUAAAUCAGACUGUGUAGAACAUGUGUAAUUAAACAAACACAUUGUUUAAAUACUAUAAACAAAAUACUUUAUCUGACUUAUUUCAUGUAUUUGAACAAGGGAUGUGUAAGUUCUGCCAUUUUGAACAUAAAAAUGUUAACAAUAAUAAAGACAUUUAAAUUAGA